UCGUGCUACGCGGGGAGUUAGCGGUUCCCUCGCCCCGACGAAAGUCGGGAUGGCCAGCAACCCGCUUGAGCUGGGCGGAAUCCCCCGACGCGGCGGCCGUGUGGGCGAGCAACGGCGGGGCGGCGUUGAACAUCGGGUCCGAUGCAAUGGUUGCCCGCAAACCCCGCCAGGGUCGGAAGACAGCAACGGUAAACGGGAUGUGCCAUGUGCCGUCGGAGUGCCUGAUGGGAGCUUGAACCGCCGCGCGCAAACCGGCGCGGCUUGUCAACUCGGGGUGCACGA
rnacentral:SRP_RNA from 1 species